GUUGCCAACACCUUGGCGCCUGAGUGUUUUUGCCUCCGUGGUAAUUUCUGGCCAGCUCUGAAAUCUUUGCAUCAUUUUUACCAUGGAUAUCUUUUGAAGGAUCUGUUGUUGCAAACUCUAACUUGCUUUGUUACCUGUUCCAGAUGUGAAUCCUACCUGAUCUGUUCCAGUCCUCUGUAGUGGCAAAGGCUACUUCCUGAUCUAGUCUGUGCAUGGCAAGCUGAACUCCUUUCCUGACAUUUAUUCUCUCCCUGGCGGGUUAUUCCGGAAUCUCCAUAAGGAAGAUUAGACUCGUUGCUCCUGUUGUUCCUGAUCAAUCUUUCAAUAAAAACUUAUUCCUUUUACAAAGUUCUCUGAGAGUCUCUGCAUGUGGAUUAAGUCGGCUGUAAAAAUCAUGACAGGUGAGCCAAAACACCUAUCACUCAAUAAGCUUUUGGAUACUUACAGUGAUGUAUUCAAUGAGAAGUUGGGCACAUUGAAAGACAUUAAAGCUACCAUUGGGGUCAAACCUGAAAUGCAGCCCAAAUUUUGUAAACAUUUUGUGUGCAAAAUUGCAUUUUGAACACAACAAGCGCACCGGGACACCCUGCCACAAACUGUUUGGCUGAAAGAUAUGUGCAGACAUUUAAAGUGGGCAUGAAAAAGCUAGCCAGCCGCUCGUGCAGCAUUGAGGACAAACUUUCAUUGUUUUUGCUGCAGUACCGUGUUAUGCCGAACUGCACAACAGGUCAGUCUCCAGCAGAAUUGUUCUUGCACAGACACAUCUGCACCAGACUGGAUUUCAUCAAACCUAACAUUGAGGAGACCGUUCGCAGGAAGCAGUAUCGACAAAAAGCUCAACAUGACUUCACUGCUGUGGACUGUUCCUUUUCUGUUGAUGGUGUAUCUUUGCAACACAGGGGGAGGAGUUCACAAGUGGACACCUGGACAGGUGGUAAGACAAACUGGUCCAGUCUCUUCUCUUAUGAAGUGAAAGGGUGGUACUCAAACACUGUGCACAGACGACAUGGGGUCCAGCUUUGUACCCAAACUGUAGCUGAACCAGAGAUCAAGGACUCUCAAACACCAACACAAGAGCAAAGUGAUGUAAACAUUACACCUGAACAAAGUGCUGUGGACUCUGGAGUGCACCCCCCUGGUUCCCCAGAUCCUUCAGUGGUUGUGAGGCAUUCCACGCGACCACAGAAUACGCCAAAACAAUAUCUGAAAUAACCUUGUGUUUAUCUAGGCAUAACAGUUAUGCAUGUUGUGUUCUGUUAUUAUUCUUGUUGCAUUAUGGGUUACAUCUGAGUUUAGAUGCAGAGGUAAACAGAAAGAAAAAAAAUUCUUGAUUAUCAAGCAAAUACAUAUUUGGGUCAUUGUUUGGUUCUAUAUGAAAAUGCACUUAAGCUGAAAUAAGUGACCUUAGUUUAUUUUAGUUAAUGUAGAUAAAAAAGUUAUUUCCAUCUAAAAGGGGAUGAUGUGGUGUAUUCACCCCUGUGAUUAUUCUGAGUUGGUUCAGUCCUUGUAUUCUGAGACGUGCAAGUUCUCUCUCUCUGUUCUUGGAAAAAUAGCACAACAAUAAAGAGGUACGAACAUA